rnacentral:rRNA from 1 species
GACGAACGCUGGCGGCGUGCUUAACACAUGCAAGUCGAACGGAAAGGCCCUGCUUUUGUGGGGUGCUCGAGUGGCGAACGGGUGAGUAACACGUGAGUAACCUGCCCUUGACUUUGGGAUAACUUCAGGAAACUGGGGCUAAUACCGGAUAGGAGCUCCUGCUGCAUGGUGGGGGUUGGAAAGUUUCGGCGGUUGGGGAUGGACUCGCGGCUUAUCAGCUUUUUGGUGGGGUAGUGGCUUACCAAGGCUUUGACGGGUAACCGGCCUGAGAGGGUGACCGGCCACAUUGGGACUGAGAUACGGCCCAGACUCCUACGGGAGGCAGCAGUGGGGAAUAUUGCACAAUGGGCGGAAGCCUGAUGCAGCAACGCCGCGUGCGGGAUGACGGCCUUCGGGUUGUAAACCGCUUUCGCCUGUGACGAAGCGUGAGUGACGGUAAUGGGUAAAGAAGCACCGGCUAACUACGUG